AUUGAACGCUGGCGGCAGGCCUAACACAUGCAAGUCGAACGAGUGGCGGACGGGUGAGUAAUGUAUGGGAAACUGCCUGAUGGAGGGGGAUAACUAAUGGAAACGGUAGCUAAUACCGCAUACCAUCAGAUGUGCCCAGAUGGGAUUAGCUAGUUGGUGGGGUAACGGCUCACCAAGGCGACGAUCCCUAGCUGGUCUGAGAGGAUGACAGGCCACACUGGAACUGAGACACGGUCCAGACUACUACGGGAGGCAGCAGUGGGGAAUAUUGAACAAUGGGCGCAAGCCUGAUGCAGCCAUGCCGCGUGUGUGAAGAAGGCCUUCGGGUUGUAAAGUACUUUCGGCGGAGAGGCGUUACCCGCAGAAGAAGCACCGGCUAACUCCGUGCCAGCAGCCGCGGUAAUAC
rnacentral:rRNA from 1 species